rnacentral:rRNA from 1 species
GACGAACGCUGGCGGCGUGCUUAACACAUGCAAGUCGAACGGAAAGGCCCUGCUUUUGUGGGGUGCUCGAGUGGCGAACGGGCGAGUAACACGUGAGUAACCUGCCCUUGACUUUGGGAUAACUUCAGGAAACUGGGGCUAAUACCGGAUAGGAGCUCCUGCUGCAUGGUGGGGGUUGGAAAGUUUCGGCGGUUGGGGAUGGACUCGCGGCUUAUCAGCUUGUUGGUGGGGUAGUGGCUUACCAAGGCUUUGACGGGUAGCCGGCCUGAGAGGGUGACCGGCCACAUUGGGACUGGGAUACGGCCCAGACUCCUACGGGAGGCAGCAGUGGGGAAUAGUGCACAAUGGGCGGAAGCCUGAUGCAGCAACGCCGCGUGCGGGAUGACGGCCUUCGGGUUGUAAACCGCUUUCGCCUGUGACGAAGCGUGAGUGACGGUAAUGGGUAAAGAAGCACCGGCUAACUACGUG